rnacentral:rRNA from 1 species
AUUGAACGCUGGCGGCAGGCUUAACACAUGCAAGUCGAACGGUAACAUAAAGGAGCUUGCUUCUUUGAUGACGAGUGGCGGACGGGUGAGUAAUGCUUGGGAAUCUAGCUUAUGGAGGGGGAUAACUACGGGAAACUGUAGCUAAUACCGCGUAGUAUCGGAAGAUGAAAGUGUGGGACCUUCGGGCCACAUGCCAUAGGAUGAGCCCAAGUGGGAUUAGGUAGUUGGUGAGGUAAAGGCUCACCAAGCCGACGAUCUCUAGCUGGUCUGAGAGGAUGACCAGCCACACUGGGACUGAGACACGGCCCAGACUCCUACGGGAGGCAGCAGUGGGGAAUAUUGCGCAAUGGGGGCAACCCUGACGCAGCCAUGCCGCGUGAAUGAAGAAGGCCUUCGGGUUGUAAAGUUCUUUCGGUAGCGAGGAAGGCAUUUAGUUUAAUAGACUAGGUGAUUGACGUUAACUACAGAAGAAGCACCGGCUAACUCCGUGCCAGCAGCCGCGGUAAUACGGAGGGUGCGAGCGUUAAUCGGAAUAACUGGGCGUAAAGGGCACGCAGGCGGUGACUUAAGUGAGGUGUGAAAGCCCCGGGCUUAACCUGGGAAUUGCAUUUCAUACUGGGUCGCUAGAGUACUUUAGGGAGGGGUAGAAUUCCACGUGUAGCGGUGAAAUGCGUAGAGAUGUGGAGGAAUACCGAAGGCGAAGGCAGCCCCUUGGGAAUGUACUGACGCUCAUGUGCGAAAGCGUGGGGAGCAAACAGG